rnacentral:rRNA from 1 species
GACGAACGCUGGCGGCGUGCUUAACACAUGCAAGUCGAACGAUGAAGCCGGAGCUUGCUCUGGUGAAUUAGUGGCGAACGGGUGAGUAACACGUGAGUAACCUGCCCUUGACUCUGGGAUAACUGCGGGAAACUGUAGCUAAUACCGGAUACGACCCUCGGAGGCAUCUCCUGGGGGUGGAAAGAAUGUCGGUCAAGGAUGGACUCGCGGCCUAUCAGCUAGUGGGUGAGGUAAAGGCUCACCAAGGCGACGACGGGUAGCCGGCCUGAGAGGGUGGCGGGACACAGUGGGACUGAGACACGGCCCAGACUCCUACGGGAGGCAGCAGGGGGGAAGAUUGCACGAUGGGCGCAAGCAUGAUGCAGCAACGCCGCGUGAGGGAUGACGGCCUUCGGGUUGUAAACCUCUUUUAGCAGGGAAGAAGCGAAAGUGACGGUACCUGCAGAAAAAGCACCGGCUAACUACGUGCCAGCAGCCGCGGUAA